rnacentral:rRNA from 1 species
CCUACGGGAGGCAGCAGUGGGGAAUAUUGGGCAAUGGGCGCAAGCCUGACCCAGCAACGCCGCGUGAAGGAAGAAGGCUUUCGGGUUGUAAACCUCUUUUGUCAGGGAAGAGUAGAAGACGGUACCUGACGAAUAAGCGACGGCUAACUACGUGCCAGCAGCCGCGGUAAUACGUAGGUGGCAAGCGUUAUCCGGAUUUACUGGGUGUAAAGGGCGUGUAGCCGGCAUGACAAGCCUGAUGUGAAAUCCUGCGGCUUAACCGCGGCACUGCAUUGGAAACUGUUGAGCUUGAGUGCUGGGGAGGCAGGCGGAAUUCGUAGUGUAGCGGUGAAAUGCGUAGAUAUUAGGAGGAACACCAGUGGCGAAGGCGGUCUACUGGACAGCGACUGACGGUGAGGCGCGAAAGCGUGGGGAGCAAACAGGAUUAGAUACCCCGGUAGUC